rnacentral:rRNA from 12 species
AGACCCGAAACCCGGUGAUCUAGCCAUGGGCAGGUUGAAGGUUGGGUAACACUAACUGGAGGACCGAACCGACUAAUGUUGAAAAAUUAGCGGAUGACCUGUGGCUGGGGGUGAAAGGCCAAUCAAACCGGGAGAUAGCUGGUUCUCCCCGAAAGCUAUUUAGGUAGCGCCUCGUGAAUUCAUCUCCGGGGGUAGAGCACUGUUUCGGCUAGGGGGCCAUCCCGGCUUACCAACCCGAUGCAAACUGCGAAUACCGGAGAAUGUUAUCACGGGAGACACACGGCGGGUGCUAACGUCCGUCGUGAAGAGGGAAACAACCCAGACCGCCAGCUAAGGUCCCAAAGUCAUGGUUAAGUGGGAAACGAUGUGGGAAGGCCCAGACAGCCAGGAUGUUGGCUUAGAAGCAGCCAUCAUUUAAAGAAAGCGUAAUAGCUCACUGGUCGAGUCGGCCUGCGCGGAAGAUGUAACGGGGCUAAACCAUGCACCGAAGCU